AGAGUUUGAUCMUGGCUCAGAUUGAACGCUGGCGGCAUGCCUUACACAUGCAAGUCGAACGGUAACAGGUCUUCGGAUGCUGACGAGUGGCGAACGGGUGAGUAAUACAUCGGAACGUGCCCGAUCGUGGGGGAUAACGAGGCGAAAGCUUUGCUAAUACCGCAUACGAUCUACGGAUGAAAGCGGGGGAUCUUCGGACCUCGCGCGGACGGAGCGGCCGAUGGCAGAUUAGGUAGUUGGUGGGAUAAAAGCUUACCAAGCCGACGAUCUGUAGCUGGUCUGAGAGGAUGAUCAGCCACACUGGGACUGAGACACGGCCCAGACUCCUACGRGAGGCAGCAGUGGGGAAUUUUGGACAAUGGGCGAAAGCCUGAUCCAGCCAUGCCGCGUGCAGGAUGAAGGCCUUCGGGUUGUAAACUGCUUUUGUACGGAACGAAAAGCCUCUUUCUAAUAAAGAGGGGUCAUGACGGUACCGUAAGAAUAAGCACCGGCUAACUACGUGCCAGCAGCCGCGGUAAUACGUAGGGUGCAAGCGUUAAUCGGAAUUACUGGGCGUAAAGCGUGCGCAGGCGGUUUUGUAAGACAGAGGUGAAAUCCCCGGGCUCAACCUGGGAACUGCCUUUGUGACUGCAAGGCUGGAGUGCGGCAGAGGGGGAUGGAAUUCCGCGUGUAGCAGUGAAAUGCGUAGAUAUGCGGAGRAACACCGAUGGCGAAGGCAAUCCCCUGGGCCUGCACUGACGCUCAUGCACGAAAGCGUGGGGAGCAAACAGGAUUAGAUACCCYGGUAGU
rnacentral:rRNA from 1 species